GAUGUCGGUGGCGUCUAAGGCCCACGGAGAUAAUGGGCCUUAAAGUAUUGUUAUUCAAAGGCCCAUUGACUGACAACAGAGGGAAAGAGUGAGGGUGCCGCGCUGGGUAGGUAUCCUAGGAGUAGGCGGCAGUACCCAGGGGCCAGAACAGGAGGGUCUUCAAAAUCAAAUCGGCCCCUUAUCCCCUACUAGGUAUUCGAUUCAUCUUCAUCUUCGUCUCUUGGCCAGCAUGACGGUGAAGUCGUCGGACAGCCCUCGUUAUGCCCCUUAUGAUCCAUCCCUUCCAAAGCCUUGGCGAGCCCUCGUCGAUGGCAGGAACGGCAACCUCUAUUUCUGGAAUCCUCUCACCAAGGUCACUCAGUAUGAACGCCCCUCUGCCUCUGAGCCCGAGAAUCGGGGUGCUCAAAGUUGCAGCGCUCCUUCAUCUGAUGGUCCGGCCAUCAUCAAUGCUUCUACCAGUGGUAGUGGACAGACCAGCUUGCCCAACCCGAGGGUACCUGCCCUUACCGCGGGGAAUGAUUCGCCUGCUGGUCUUUCCGCAGAAGCCUAUCGCCGCCACCAUGAGAUCACCGUCAUUGGAAAUCAUGUACCUCCACCAUACACUACAUUCCAGUCUGCAGGUUUUCCUUCGGAGAUUCUCAGAGAGUUACAACAUGCAGGUUUUUCUGCUCCCACACCCAUCCAGGCUCAGUCAUGGCCAAUUGCUUUAGAUGGCCGUGACAUUGUUGCUGUUGCAAAAACUGGUUCAGGAAAAACGUUGGGUUAUCUUAUUCCAGGAUUUAUUCGUCUAAAGAAGCUUGGUAGCAAUUCUCAAAUGGGCCCACUAGUUUUGGUUCUCUCACCAACUAGAGAGCUGGCAACACAAAUACAGGAUGAAGCUGUGAAGUUUGGUAGAUCAUCUAGAGUUUCCAGUGUGUGCUUAUAUGGAGGUGCCCCAAAAGGACCCCAGUUGAGAGAUUUGAGUAAAGGUGCUCAUGUUGUGGUGGCAACUCCUGGGAGGUUGAAUGACAUUUUAGAAAUGAAAAAAGUGAGUCUUCAUCAAGUUUCAUAUCUAGUACUUGAUGAAGCAGAUCGAAUGUUGGACAUGGGGUUUGAGCCACAGAUACGGAGAAUUGUGAAAGAAAUACCUCCACGUCGUCAGACUCUUAUGUACACUGCUACAUGGCCAAAGGAGGUCAGGAAAAUUGCUGCAGAUUUACUAGUUAAUCCUGUGCAGGUUAACAUCGGCAGCAUUGAUGAGCUUGUUGCUAACAAAUCUAUAACUCAGCAUGUGGAAAUGAUUUCACCUAUGGAGAAACGGAAACGGUUGGAACAGAUUCUCCACUCACAGGAGCCAGGCUCCAAAAUCAUUAUAUUUUGUUCUACCAAAAGGAUGUGCGAUCAACUUGCUAGGAACCUUGGUCAUCAGUUUGGUGCCAAUGCUAUCCAUGGUGAUAAAUCCCAAAAUGAGAGGGAUUUGGUUUUGAACCAGUUCCGAACAGGGAAGUCUCCUAUACUUGUUGCUACUGAUGUUGCUGCUAGAGGCCUGGACAUAAAAGACAUAAGGGUUGUGAUCAACUAUGAUUUCCCUACGGGAGUUGAAGACUAUGUGCACAGGAUUGGCAGAACAGGUCGGGCUGGUGCCACUGGUGUUUCUUAUACCUUCUUAAGUGAUCAAGACGCAAGGUAUGCAUCAGAUCUUGUCAAAGUUCUGGAAGGAGCAGACCAGUGUGUCCCUUCUGAGCUAAGGGAUAUGGCAGCACAAGGUGGAUAUGGAGGAAGAUUUCGCCGGUGGCGUUCUGACUCUGGUGCUCAUGAUAGAGUCCAUUCAUAUGGUGGUACUUGUACUGGCUCCAGCUAUGAUAAAAGUCCCUCAUUUGGUGGUGUAUGUAAUGACUCCAGCUAUGACAAAGGUGGUGGAUGGGGUCAACCAUUAUCUUCUGGUUGGUCCGACAGCUUCUGUAAUCAUAGACCAUCACCACCAUUUGAGAGGUGUGACCAUUCUGGUGGUAAGCAUUUGGAUUCACAAGAGCGCGGUAAUAUGAAGACCAUCCAGGAAGCAAGCAAUUCCAGUGCUGGAUGUAGCAAGCGGAGCAGAAGUCGAAGCCGCAGCAGAAGCCCAUCCAGCAAAUGCCAUGGGUGGGGUGUUAACCUUACGGCUGAUCCUCUUUGACAAAGUCCUCCACGGGAGCCAUGUGCAUCUGCUCAAUACAAUGAUGAUGCAGGAAAGAUUUCUGAUGGGCGCGACCGCUCUGCUCCCUAGCACAUGAGUUAAGAUAUCAUGUUUUGGUGCGUGUGGCCUUUAAGAACACUGCAGCUCAAUGCGUUUGUUAUAUGAACACUGGAGGCUGGUGGUAUGGUAUGACUUGUGAGAACUCCACCCAAAUCAAGCCUUGCUUCACCUGCCAGCUGGAUAAAGAAAUGGCAACAACAAAUAGUUUAUAUCUAUUUUAAUACUUAGAGGCUUGUAUUUUAUCUGUUAAUGUGGACACGUUAUUAUUAAUAGCUAAGAUCAUCAGCUAUUCAAUUA